UAAGGUUUUGUCUCAUCCCACAACUUGCGCCGCCGUAGUAGUCUACCUCAUCUCGAGCAUCGGCGUGCAUCGACAUGCGAGAGAGCAGGUCUCCGAAACCAUUCGUCUUUGCGAUGCUGCACCAGAAGUGGACGAAUUAGGUUUUUGGGAAGCGACUGUUGAAAGUCCUCACCACGGUUCGUCUACCGUCCAAGUCGGACGGUGCUACUCAUCAUCGUCUUCAUCGCCAUCAACAAAGGAUCGUCGCCAACAUCAUCAUCAACGCAGUCGCUCCUGCUGCAACUAACGAACAAUACGUUACUCGUAAUCUGUUAAUGUUCAUCGCUGUAGUUGCUGCUUCUUGCCG
rnacentral:lncRNA from 1 species